rnacentral:lncRNA from 1 species
UGGCCGGAGCGCGCGGGCGACGAAAGUUUUGUUCGAACGGACAAGAUCCGAAUUCUGAAGAACUGUCCAUACUGUUUUAGGGGGGCGCAUCCGUCUCUCCGGCCGGUGCUCUCUUGCCUGAACCGGAGGAGGUAUCAGGGCACGAUCAGGUGGCAUGAAGCAUAGGCGCGAGUUGCUUCCAAUAUGUGUCCAUGGCAAGCUGAUUAAGCUUCCCGGAUGGGUGGAAAUUGUACUUGUUCUCGAUCGGCCUCUGCAGUCCGGAUGAUUUGUUUAUUAGAAAUGAAUACAGGAAAAAUAAAGGAUCUGAAGAAAGCAAUCAAAAAUCAUUCAAACUUGGUUAGCUUCAGUUUGGAUAGCUCGUCUGCUCCAUUUUUUUUUGUUCCACUUGAUGACUGACACAGUGCUAAAGUACUGUCGCUGUAAAUAAUUCAAACCAAUCGUUAUAAAUUAUUGUUGCCCUAAAUUUUGUGAUGUUCACAGCAAUCUGUACAAGUAAUGCAAGUUAGAGCAUCUCUAGCAUAUCCCAUAUAANGCUGCCGCGGCCGACCUCAACCACCACUGUUGUCGAUCUCAACCCACCCGCCUCAGCGGCCGUACCUCUGCCCGCUUGCUGCCCCCGUUUCGGCGCUCGAACACAGCUUCUGGGUCAAAUAAACGCGACAGCUAUAGUGACUGGGGAUGAUGCGUCUGUUCGAUGCAGAACGGCGGCGAUGCGCAGAUAAGGCACGGCGGAGCGAAGUACUUGCAGGUGGAGGCGGGCCUCCAUGGCUCACACGGGAAACUCCGAGGUUAUGGCGCGGCAACGACGACUCCUUAUGGCGAGAUAGAGGUUCCUAACCCUUGCUCCCCUCGUCGUAUCCCCUCCUCCGGCAGGAACUCAUCAUCUGGUGAGAUCCCCUCCCCAUGCCUCCAACCGUGUGCCAAGGAUCGGUCAGAAAUUUUGUUUUGUGGGAAUUUGUUUGCUGAUGAAUGAAUGUAUUGAAUAUAAGAUUACACUGUUGUAGAGACAGAGAAUGGAACACCACCUUCAGUUUAUCAUCUGAUCCCACAUUCUCUACCCCAUGAGUGAAAUAAGAUAACAGUCCAUUGAUCAAUUCAGGUAGCCUAUUUGUUUUGCUUUGCUUGUUCCGUUUAAUUUUUCAUUAUGGUCGAAUUAACAAUGGACGGGUUAAUUUUUCAACAAAAUAGGAUAGAACUGACUACAUUAGUUAGUUAGCUUANUUGCAUCGCACGUGCCCUUUUGCUAGUUAUAGUUGAACAAAGUAGAUCUUUUCAACUACAAUUAAUUAGGUAUAAAAAAUAUAUUAUACAUUUAAAUCCUUGUAUAUUCUUGCAUUUGAAGACUGUUUCUUUCUUUUCCGUUAAUAAAUAUGGCUGCAUGCAGGCCGGGUUAACCUCCUUCUUUUUCAUAAAGUCCUUGUAUAUUAUUGAUUUUAUAUGGAGUUUUUCAUUUUUGCUUAAUUAGAACACUUAAAUGUACAAUAGUUAAGGUAUAUAUCUACAUGUGCCUCAUACGAACUCAAAUGAAAAGCAUUGCAUCUCAUAUCGCACGAUACUAACAAAAAUAAGGAAGCCUACAUCAAGAGUAUCUAGACACUCUUGGAUUGGAUGCCGCUUUUACGUCUAGACACCAGUCCAAAUGUCUAAAAAUGACCAGCAUUCCGGUAUCGCCAAAAUCUCGAAAGGAUAUAGGACGCUCGGACACGCCCAUGACAUUGCACUAACCUGGAGGGCCCGCACCAAUUCACGUGUAUUCGCCCCCCUCCCCUCCUUGCCAUCGAAGGUCAGCGCCACCGGACGAUGCCACCGGACUUUGAAAACAGUAUGUCAAACUAUGUACCCUCUCGGAUUCAGACGAUAGAUGUCAAAAUGAUUGAACUUUUAAAAACAAGCAUGUCCAUCACUGUUUGCGUUAUGAGGGAUACACACAGCCAUGACGAGUCUUUGUAUCUAUGAAUGAAGAAAAUUUAUAAUGACGGUCCAUAACCUUGAACAGAAAUGAUAUAUUGAAGACCGAAGCUUACCUUUUUUAAGGACGCGGUUAUUUAAGCCGGGCACAUGGCUGCUCACGCAGCUAGCCAGCUAGGCGUGACUAAACCCCCAACUAAGCGGGCCCAACACCGGAAAUUUUAAGUACAAAAAUAAUAAUUGGUGUUUACACAACCUACAAGCCCAACAUGGACAAAAUGAUCGACCUGCAUGUCCGUGCAUGUACUUGGUGUUUUGGUCACAAAACCCUAUUCCCAAAAGUUUUAGGAAUAGGGUUUUGUGAUCGUAAAUGACAAAAAUUGAGGACCCACUGUCACUGUUUGCGGGGGCGUCUCGAAGCCUAUGGACGUAUAUGGACCUGGAUUAGGCAAUUUCUGCUGUAGGUACUCUUAGAGCAACUCUAGCCCAUACUAUAAAAGUCUCUAAACUGUAAAUUUUCAGGAAGUAUAUGUGUUUGGACCGUUUUUGUGGCCACAUUAAACCCCGUAUACUCGGCCCGGCCCGUAAAUGUUUUAUGCUGGCCCGCCAACGCCCCCCGCCGCUCAUGAUAUUUUUGCAAGUCCUCAAGGUCGAUACGGGUACGGACCCUAUCCAUCCGCUAGAGUGAAAUCCCCAUUUCUCACCACAUUUCUCGUCGCCGGUGUGUCAAAUCCACCGCCCACUCACCGAUCCACGAGAUGUGGAACUCUGGUCGGCGCGGCGGCGAUGACCUCGUGCACAGGCGUUGCGUCAGAGCGAAUGUGUCACGGAGGAGCUCCACCCUGCGGUACACUCAUCACGGGCUAACGCAGUCGCCGUUGCUCCUCCGCCACGAGACGGAGGAGUACGACCGCCCGCGUGCGCGGCUCUUCUCCUACGGAUGCAUCUCCUCCGGGGCGUCCAGCUUGCACUUCUCUUUCACCCCGAUUAAGUGGGAGCUGGAGGAGCUCCCCCUAGUCCGUGCGCUGAAAAGGAAGCCGGAGCCGAGGCGGGGCGAAAGCGACGGGACGGUGGCAUUGUCUAGCCGGAGGACUUGCUCCUACCGACGAAGGCGGGGGCGAUUUUGGCCGCGAUGCUCGCGUGUAGUGCACGGGAGGAGGAACAGGAGCGGCAGGCCGCCGGUGGGAGGAGGAGAUCGGCGCCGUGCUUUACGAGCAGGGCCUCGCAUUGGCCCUCGUGUUCGACGAGAAGGAGGAGGAGUGGCGCCAUGAGUCCGCUGAGCAGGAUAGCAUCUUCGUCGAUCUCACCUUCAACUCCGACUCCGGUUGAGCGCCGCUCGGCUUCGGUGAGCUCGAAGGUCAGCUACCGCACCAUACGAGGUCCGAUGAGCUUGAUUUUGGCCAGUUCUUGGGUAGGGUAGCUCCGACGAGCUUUUUAUGUAAUAUAUCUAUGCUAUGUAUGAACGAUAUGCACCUAUGUAUGAAGAAUAUGUCCAUUUUGCGUUAUAAUUUGUUGCAUGAAACUUAUUUUUAAAUUUUUUUGUUCAGGUUACAAUUUCUUUUGUGACGUGGCGAUUUUGCAUCCGUUAGACCCCAUUCUCAGUGUCAAAACUGGCGGAUCUCGGGUAGGGGGUCCCGAGCCUGGAUCUUGGAUCAACGGGGAACAGAAAAACACAGAGACAAUAGUUACCUAGGUUCGGGCCGUCUCGAAGAGGUAAAACCGUACGUCCUGCUUGAUUAUAUUGAUGAGUGUAUGACCAUUACAGAGUCGAUCUACCACGAGAUCAGAUGUACUAAACAUUAGAUGAUGGUUUUGUCGUCUUCGAACUAAAACCCUCUAGUUUAUAUUGACCCUAGGGGUACCUACGAUUACAUAUGGUCGAUUAUCAGCAGGGAAUAAACAUGUCGAUUCUGCAUCUUGACUUGGAGCACACACCAAGGCUUCAGAGGUUUCCUUCCUGGUGCCAUCUUAUAGUUCGGCCCUUCAGUAGUAGUCACAAAGCGGCCCACCUGUCCGGCCCAUAGAGAUAGAUUGGCGGCCCGAGGACCCCUUAGUCCCGAGCUCCACGAGAGUAUGGACUCGGACCGGAUGAGAGCAGAGAUGAGGCUUGAAAUUGAGAGGGAGAAUAUCGAGUUGGGAAAGUAAGCGACGACGACCAAAUGGGAACUCAAGAAGGCCAAGUAAUUUGAGAGAUUAAGCUCAAGAAGGAGAGGUUGCAACUCGCAUGAGACACGGAGAAUGUGAAGAUCUUGUUGACGGACGAAUCCGUCUUGGAUAAGCAUACCAGAAAUGGCUUAAGGAGAAGAAGAAGGAGAUCAACGUCCAUAGAGAUAAGGAGGCAGCGAGGGUGUCUGCAGCAGAGGAUCAAGCGGCCAGGAUGUAGGUGGAGGAGGCAGUCAGGAUGCAGGUGGAGGAGUCAGCCACGAUGCACGGGGAGAUGGUUGCCCGCAUGGACGCACAGAUGGUUGCGUGGACGGAGCAGGACGCAUGAACGAACUCGUCCGGCCAGUGAUCGGACAAGCACACCCUUGCCACUCGGACAUUGAUUUCAUUUUGACAUGUCCGAUUUGUUGAAGUAUGAUUUCAUUUGCUUUUGUUUUGAAUUGUUGAAUUUGAACAAUUUGUAUCGCAUGAUCGACGUCCGUGAAUUACAUCGAUUUGUGGAUUGUAUUUAAGAUAUGUGAAUGUACGACGCAACAUAUAAGGGUUCGAUGGAUGGCGUGCGCGGACGCGUCCGGACACGCCCGCGAACAUAUAAGGGCUGGAUUGAUCGUCAAGUCCGACUAUAGAUGCUCUAACUUUAGUACAACUAAACAACUGUAUGAUUGAAACCAACAAAUAAAACAACCGGGAUAGAAUAAAAAAUUCAGAAGAUUGCAAUUCUCCAAAAAUUUCAUGAAAAUCCUUUUUCAUGAGACCGUAAGAGCAACUCCAACGGGGCGACCCAAAUGGAUACGUAUUUUGUCCGUUUUUCAUCCGUUUGGGUCACCUUCCGCUUAACGGACAUGGGGCGGACACGCACGGAUGGUUUGUGCUUCUAAUGCGCACACACAAAAACGAAGUCGGUCCUCGUCGCGCCGAUCCUCCUCUCGUCAUCGCGCCGCCUCAUUGGUGGCCUCUUCGCCUUGCCGAUGGCCUCUCUUCUCAAGCCCUCCGACCCCCUUCGCCUCGCCCCUUCGUCCCUCGCGCCAUCGCCGGAUCUAGCCGGUGCCGAAGUCGGGGGCUCGCUCUGCCACGGGCUCCAACUCCCCAUGACCUCCAGCGCGAGCGUUAGUUGCUCUAGCGAGGGAUGUGGCGGUAUGUGCUGGUGGACUCUCUCCUCGCGCCCUCCGACCCCCUUCGCGCCGCCCCUCUGCCCCCUCGCACCAUCGUCGGAUCUUGUCAGGGGCUCGCUCCGUUGCGGGCUCCACCUCCCCAUGAGCUCCAGCGCGAGCGCCUAUUGCUGAGAUGUGGGACCAAGGCGAACACGAGCGGACGACAUGGUCAAUGGAAGCGCCCGAUUCUGUCCACUUCGUACCCAUCUGAUCCCAUAUUUGGGCUAAGUUUGGGUCAGGGAGGAAAAUAGACGGACAACAUGCGGACAUGCACGUCCGUUUGGAUCGUCCCAUUGGGCCAAGUAUUGUGUACGGGCGACUCAAACGGACAAAAUGGAUCAUUGAAAGGACGUGGAUGUCGCCUAGAGGGGGUGAAUAGGCGCUUUUAAAAUAACUAUGGUUUAGGCUUGAACAAAUGCGGAAUAAAACUAAUGUUUAAUUUGUCAAGCACAAAACCUAAAACAACCAGGCUCACCUAUGUGCACCAACAACUUUUGCUAAGGAAGAUAAACAACGAAGUGAUAGCGAGAAAUACAACAAGAAAUAAUAUGGCUAUCACAAAUUAAAGUGCAUAAGCAAAGAGCUCGGGUGAGAGAUAACCAUGCCACGCGGAGACGACGAUGUAUCCCGAGGUUCACACCCUUGCGGAUGCUAAUCUCAGUUUGAAGCGGUGUGGAGGCACAAUGCUCCCCAAUAUGCCACUUGUUGGAAAUAUGCCCUAGAGGCAAUAAUAAAUUAGUUAUUAUUAUAUUUCUUAGUUCAUGAUAAUCGUUUAUUAUCCAUGCUAUAAUUGUAUUGAAUGAAGACUUAUAUACAUGUGUGGAUACAUAGACAAAACACUGUCCCUAGCAAGCCUCUAGUUGGCUAGUCAGUUGAUCAAAGAUAGUCAGGGUCUUCUGAUUAUGAACAAGGUGUUGUUGCUUGAUAACUGGAUCACGUCAUUAGGAGAAUCACGUGAUGGACUAGACCCAAACUAAUAGACGUAGCAUGUUGAUCGUGUCAUUUUGUUGCUACUGUUUUCUGCGUGUCAAGUAUUUGUUCCUAUGACCAUGAGAUCAUAUAACUCACUGACACCAGAGGAAUGCUUUGUGUGUAUCAAACGUCGCAACGUAACUGGGUGACUAUAAAGAUGCUCUACAGGUAUCUCCGAAGGUGUUAGUUGAGUUAGUAUGGAUCGAGACUGGGAUUUGUCACUCCGUGUGACGGAGAGGUAUCUCGGGGCCCACUCGGUAAUACAACAUCACACACAAGCCUUGCAAGCAAUGUAACUUAGUGUAAGUUGCGGGAUCUUGUAUUACGGAACGAGUAAAGAGACUUGCCGGUAAACGAGAUUGAAAUAGGUAUGCGGAUACUGACGAUCGAAUCUCGGGCAAGUAACAUACCGAAGGACAAAGGGAAUGACAUACGGGAUUAUAUGAAUCCUUGGCACUGAGGUUCAAACGAUAAGAUCUUCGUAGAAUAUGUAGGAUCCAAUAUGGGCAUCCAGGUCCCGCUAUUGGAUAUUGACCGAGGAGUCUCUCGGGUCAUGUCUACAUAGUUCUCGAACCCGCAGGGUCUGCACACUUAAGGUUCGACGUUGUUUUAUGCGUAUUUGAGUUAUAUGGUUGGUUACCGAAUGUUGUUCGGAGUCCCGGAUGAGAUCACGGACGUCACGAGGGUUUCCGGAAUGGUCCGGAAACGAAGAUUGAUAUAUAGGAUGACCUCAUUUGAUUACCGGAAGGUUUUCGGAGUUACCGGGAAUGUACCGGGAAUGACGAAUGGGUUCCGGGAGUUCACCGGGGGGGGCAACCCACCCCGGGGAAGCCCAUAGGCUUUGGGGAGACACACCAGCCCUUAGUGGGCUGGUGGGACAGCCCAAAAGGGCUCUAUGCGCCAAGAAGAAGAAAAUCAAGAGAAAAGAAAAAAAAGGAGGAGGUGGGAAGGAAGGGGGACUCCCUCCCACCAAACCAAGUCCAACUCGGUUUGGGGGGGAGUCCUCCCCCCUUGGACUCGGCCGACCCCCUUGGGGCUCCUUGAGCCCCAAGGCAAGGUCCCCUCCCUCCCACCUAUAUAUACGGAGGUUUUAGGGCUGAUUUGAGACGACUUUUCCACGGCAGCCCGACCACAUACCUCCACGGUUUUUCCUCUAGAUCGCGUUUCUGCGGAGCUCGGGCGGAGCCCUGCUGAGACAAGGUCAUCACCAACCUCCGGAGCGCCGUCACGCUGCCGGAGAACUCUUCUACCUCUCCGUCUCUCUUGCUGGAUCAAGAAGGCCGAGAUCAUCGUCGAGCUGUACGUGUGCUGAACGCGGAGGUGCCGUCCGUUCGGUACUAGAUCGUGGGACUGAUCGCGGGAUUGUUCGCGGGGCGGAUCGAGGGACGUGAGGACGUUCCACUACAUCAACCGCGUUCACUAACGCUUCUGCUGUACGAUCUACAAGGGUACGUAGAUCACUCAUCCCCUCUCGUAGAUGGACAUCACCAUGAUAGGUCUUCGUGCGCGUAGGAAAUUUUUUGUUUCCCAUGCGACGUUCCCCAACAGUGGCAUCAUGAGCUAGGUUCAUGCGUAGAUGUCUUCUUGAGUAGAACACAAAUGUUUUUGUGGGCGGUGAUGUGCGUUUUGCUGCCCUCCUUAGUCUUUUCUUGAUUCCGCGGUAUUCUUGGAUUGAAGCGGCUUGGACCGACAUUACUCGUACGCUUACGAGAGACUAGUUUCAUCGCUACGAGUAACCCUGUUGCUCAAAGAUGACUGGCAAGUGUCAGUUUCUCCAACUUUAGUUGAAUCGGAUUUGACCGAGGAGGUCCUUGGAUGAGGUUAAAUAGCAACUCAUAUAUCUUCGUUGUGGUGUUUGCGUAAGUAAGAUGCGAUCCUACUAGAUACCCAUGGUCACCACGUAAAACAUGCAACAACAAAAUUAGAGGACGUCUAACUUGUUUUUGCAGGGUAUGCUUGUGAUGUGAUAUGGCCAACGAUGUGAUGUGAUAUAUUGGAUGUAUGAGAUGAUCAUGUUGUAAUAGUUAAUAUCGACUUGCACGUCGAUGGUACGGCAACCGGCAGGAGCCAUAGGGUUGUCUUUAAACUAACGUUUGUGCUUGCAGAUGCGUUUACUAUAUUGCUAGGACGUAGCUUUAGUAGUAAUAGCAUGAGUAGCACGACAACCCCGAUGGCGACACGUUGAUGGAGAUCAUGAUGAUGGAGAUCAUGGUGUGACGCCGGUGACAAGAAGAUCGUGCCGGUGCUUUGGUGAUGGAGAUCAAGAAGCACGUGAUGAUGGCCAUAUCAUGUCACUUAUGAAUUGCAUGUGAUAUUAAUCCUUUAUGCACCUUAUCUUGCUUAGAACGGCGGUAGCAUUAUGAGGUGAUCUCUCACUAAAAUUUCAAGACGAAAUUGUGUUCUCCCCGACUGUGCACCGUUGCGACAGUUCUUCGUUUCGAGACACCACGUGAUGAUCGGGUGUGAUAGACUCAACGUUCACAUACAACGGGUGCAAAACAGUUGCACACGCGGAACACUCGGGUUAAGCUUGACGAGCCUAGCAUGUGCAGACAUGGCCUCGGAACACAUGAGACCGAAAGGUCGAGCAUGAAUGGUAUAGUUGAUAUGAUUGGCAUAGAGAUGCUUACCACUGAAACUAUUCUUGACUCACGUGAUGAUCAGACUUGAGAUAGUGGAUUUGGAUCAUGUACCACUCAAAUGACUAGAGAGAUGUACUUUUUGAGUGGGAGUUCUUAAGUGAUAUGAUUAAUUGAACUAAUUGUCAUGAACAUAGUCUAAUGGUCUUUACGAAUUACGAUGUAGCUUGCCCUACAGCUCUACUGUUUUUAUGUGUUCCUACAGAAAAUUUAGUUGAAAGUUGAUAGUAGCAAACUUUGAAGAGGAUUGUCCUCGUUGCUGCGCAGAAGGCUUACGUCCUUAAUGCACCACUCAGUGUGCUGCACCUCGAGCGUCGUCUGUGGAUGCUGUGAACAUCCGACAUACACGUUUCUGAUGACUACACGAUAGUUCAGUGCAAAAUACUUAAAUGGCUUAGAAGCAAGGCGCCGAAGACGUUUUGGAACGUCACGGAACAUAAGUGAUGUUCUAAAGAGAUGAAAUUGUGAUUUCAUGCUUGUGCCCUUGUUAAGAGGUACGAGACCUCCGACAAGAUUCUUUGUCCACAAAAUAAAGGAGAAAAGCUCAAUCGUUGAGCAUGUGCUCAGAUUGUCUGAGUACGACAAUCGCUUGAAUCAAGUGGGGGUUAAUCUUCCAGAUGAGAUAGUGAUAGUUCUCCAAAGUCACUGCCACCAAGCCGUGAGAGCUUCGUGAUGAACUAUAACAUAUCAAGGAUAGAUACAAUGAUCUUUGAGUGAUUCACGAUGUUUGACACUGCGAAAGUAGAAAUCAACAAGGAGCGUCAAUAGUUGAUGGUUAGUAAAACCACGAAGUUUCGAGAAAGGCAAGGGCUAGAAGGGAUACUUCGUGAAAACGGCAAAACAGUUGCUGCACUAAUGAAGAGACCCAAGAUUAAACCCAAACCUGAGACUAAGUGCUUCUGUAAUGAGGGGAACAGUCACAGAGGCGGAGCAACUCUAGAUACUUGGUAGAUAAGUAGGCUGGCAAAAGUCGAAAGAAGUAUAUUUGAUAUACAUGAUGUGUACUUUAUUAGUACUCCUAGUAGCAUGAGGGUAUUGGAUACCGGUUCGGUUGCUAAGUGAUUAGUAACACGAAAUGAUAGCAAUGGCAUAAAUGGAGACUAGCUAAAGGCGAGGUGACGAUACGUGUUGGAAGUGUUUCCAAGAUUGAUAUGAUCAAAACGUCGCACGCUCCCUCUACCAUCGGGAUUGGUGUUAAACCUAAAUAAUUGUUAUUUGGUGCUUGCGUUAAGCAUGAACAUGAUUGGAUCAUGUUUAUUGCAAUACGAUUAUUCAUUUAAAGAGAAUAAUGGUUACUCUAUUUGCUUGAAUAAUCACCUUCAAUGGUUUAUUGAAUCUCGAUCGUAGUGUUACACAUGUUCAUGAUAUUGGUGCCAAAAGACACGAGGUAAUAAUGAUAGUACCACUUACUUGUGGCACUGCCGCUGGAGUCAUGUUGGUAUAAAUUGCAUGAAGAGGCUCCAUGCUGAUGGAUCUUUAUACUCACUUGAUUUUGAAUCACUAGUGACAUGCAAAUCAUACCACAUGAGCAAGGCCUUGUUUUUCAUUGAGAUGAAACAAGAUAGUAACUUGUUGGAAGUGAUGCAUUUUGACGUAUGCAGUCCAAUGGGUGCUGAGGCACGCAGUGGAUAUCAUUAUGUUCUUACUUCAAUGAAUAUUUGAGCAGAUACAAGACUAUUUGCUUAAUGAAUCACAAGUCUGAAAUAUUGAAAAGUUCAAUUCUGUUUCAGAGUGAAGUUCGUCGUAACAAAAGGAUAAACUGUCUAUGAUAUGAUCAUAGAAAUGAAUAUCUGAGUUACGAGUUUUGGUACGCAGUUAAGACAAUGUGGAAAUUGUUUCGCAGUUCAUGCCACCUGGAACAUCAUAGUGUGAUGAUGUGUCUGAACGUCAUAGCCACGCACUAUUUGGUAUGGUGCAUACUAUGAUGUCUCUUAUCAAAAUACCACUAUCGUUUAUGGGUUAUGCAUUAGAGACAACCACAUUCACUUUAAAAUAGGGCACCGUGUAUUUCCGUUGAGAUGACACAGUAUAGACUGAGGUUUAGAGAAAUCUAAACUGUCGUUUCUUGAAAGUUUGGGGCUUCGACACUUAUGUGAAAAAGUUUCAGUCUGAUAAGCUCGAACCCAAAGCGGAUAAAUGCAUCUUCAUAGGAUAUCCAAAACAGUUGGGUACAUCUCCUAUCUCAGAUCCGAAAGCAAAGUGUUUGUUUCCAGAAACGGAUCCUUUCUCGAGGAAAGGUUUCUCUCGAAAGAAUUGAGUGGGAGGGUGGUAGAAUUUGAUGAGGUUAUUGAACCGUCACUUCGACCAGUGUGUAGCAGGGCGCAGGAAGUUGUUCCUGUGGCGCCUACACCAAUUGAAGUGAAAGCUGAUGAGGGUGAUCAUCGAGCAUCAGAUCAAGUUACUACAAACCUCGUAGGUUGACAAGGUCACGUACUAGUGCAGAGUGGUACGGUAACCCUGUCUUGGAGGUCACGUUGUUGAGCAACAGUGAACCUACGAGUUAUGGAGAAGCAAUGGUGGGCCCGGAUUCCGACAAAUGGCUUGAGGCCAUGAAAUCCGAGAGAGGAUCCAUAUAUAAAACAAAGUGUAGACUUUGGAGGAACUACUUGAUGGUAGUAAGACUAUUGAGUAAAGAUGGAUCUUUGUAAGGAAGACAUACGACGAUGGUGAUAAGUCACUAUUAAGAAAAGCUUGACUUGUCGCAAAGAUGUUUCUGACAAGAUCAAACAGUUGACUAUGAUGAGACUUUCUCACUCGUAGCGAUGCUAAUAGUCUGUUGGAAUUAUGUUAGUAGUUGCUGCAUUAUUUAUAAAAUAUUGCACAUAGGAUGUCAAAACAUUGUUUCCUCAAUGGUUUCCUUGAGCAAACAUUGUAUGUGAUACAACCAGAAGGUUUUGUCGAUCCUAAAGAUACUAACAAGUAUGCAAGCUCCAGUGAUCCUUCAAUGGACUGGUGCAAGCAUCUCGGAGUUGGAAUAUACACUUUGAUGAGGUGAUCAAAGAUUUUGGGUUUGUACAAGGUUUAUGAGAAACUUGUAUUUCCAAAGAAGUGAGUGGGAGCACUAUAGUAUUUCUGAUAAGUAUAUGUGGUUGACAUAUUGUGGAUCAGAAGUAAUGUAGAAUUUCUGUAAAGCAUACAAGGUUAUUUGAAAGGUUUUUCAAAGGAAUACCUCGAUUGAGCUACUUGAACAUUGAGCAUCAAGAUCUAUGGAGAUAGAUCAAAACACUUAAUAGAAGUUUCAACAAAAUGCAUGCCUUGACAAGUUUUGAAGGAGUUCAAAAUAGAUCAGCAAAGGAGUUCUUGGUUGCGUUGUGAGGUGUGAAUUUGAGUAAGACUCAAAACCCGACCACGGCAGAAUAAAGAGAAUAGACGAAGGUCGUCUUCUGUGCCUUAGCCGAAGACUCUAAAGUAUGCCAUGCUGAGUACCGCACAUGAUGUGUGCCUUGCACUCUCAUGAGAGGUACAGAGAGUGAUCCAUGAUUGAAUCACUAGCAGCGGUCAAAAUUUAUCCUUAGUAACUGAUAGACUAAGGAAUUUUUCUCGAUUAUGGAGGUGGUUAAAGAGUUCAUCGUAAAGGGUUACGUUGAUGCAAGCUUUGACACUAAUCCGAAUAACUAUGAGUAGUGAAACGGAUUCAUAUAGUAGAGUAGAUAUUUGGAGUAUUUCCGAAUAGCCCAUAGUAGCAGCAUCUAUAAGAUGACAUAAAGAUUUGUAAAGAACACACGGACCUGAAAGUUUCAGAACCGUUGACUAAAACCUCUCUCACGAGCAAGACGUGAUCAGACCCCAUAAAUAUAUGGGUGUUGGAUUCGUUGGAAUCACAUGGUGAUGUGAACUAGAUUAUUGACUCUAGUGCAAGUGGGAGACUGUUGGAAAUAUGCCCUAGAGGCAAUAAUAAAUUAGUUAUUAUUAUGUACGGGCGACUCAAACGGACAAAAUGGAUCAUUGAAAGGACGUGGAUGUCGCCUAGAGGGGGUGAAUAGGCGCUUUUAAAAUAACUAUGGUUUAGGCUUGAACAAAUGCGGAAUAAAACUAAUGUUUAAUUUGUCAAGCACAAAACCUAAAACAACCAGGCUCACCUAUGUGCACCAACAACUUUUGCUAAGGAAGAUAAACAACGAAGUGAUAGCGAGAAAUACAACAAGAAAUAAUAUGGCUAUCACAAAUUAAAGUGCAUAAGCAAAGAGCUCGGGUGAGAGAUAACCAUGCCACGCGGAGACGACGAUGUAUCCCGAGGUUCACACCCUUGCGGAUGCUAAUCUCAGUUUGAAGCGGUGUGGAGGCACAAUGCUCCCCAAUAUGCCACUUGUUGGAAAUAUGCCCUAGAGGCAAUAAUAAAUUAGUUAUUAUUAUAUUUCUUAGUUCAUGAUAAUCGUUUAUUAUCCAUGCUAUAAUUGUAUUGAAUGAAGACUUAUAUACAUGUGUGGAUACAUAGACAAAACACUGUCCCUAGCAAGCCUCUAGUUGGCUAGUCAGUUGAUCAAAGAUAGUCAGGGUCUUCUGAUUAUGAACAAGGUGUUGUUGCUUGAUAACUGGAUCACGUCAUUAGGAGAAUCACGUGAUGGACUAGACCCAAACUAAUAGACGUAGCAUGUUGAUCGUGUCAUUUUGUUGCUACUGUUUUCUGCGUGUCAAGUAUUUGUUCCUAUGACCAUGAGAUCAUAUAACUCACNNNNNNNNNNNNNNNNNNNNNNNNNNNNNNNNNNNNNNNNNNNNNNNNNNNNNNNNNNNNNNNNNNNNNNNNNNNNNNNNNNNNNNNNNNNNNNNNNNNNNNNNNNNNNNNNNNNNNNNNNNNNNNNNNNNNNNNNNNNNNNNNNNNNNNNNNNNNNNNNNNNNNNNNNNNNNNNNNNNNNNNNNNNNNNNNNNNNNNNNNNNNNNNNNNNNNNNNNNNNNNNNNNNNNNNNNNNNNNNNNNNNNNNNNNNNNNNNNNNNNNNNNNNNNNNNNNNNNNNNNNNNNNNNNNNNNNNNNNNNNNNNNNNNNNNNNNNNNNNNNNNNNNNNNNNNNNNNNNNNNNNNNNNNNNNNNNNNNNNNNNNNNNNNNNNNNNNNNNNNNNNNNNNNNNNNNNNNNNNNNNCUGGAUCAAGAAGGCCGAGAUCAUCGUCGAGUUGUACGUGUGCUGAACGCGGAGGUGCCGUCCGUUCGACACUAGAUCGUGGGACUGAUCGCGGGACGGUUCGCGGGGCUGAUCGAGGGACGUGAGGACGUUCCACUACAUCAACCGCGUUCACUAACGCUUCUGCUGUACGGUCUACAAGGGUACGUAGAUCACACAUCCCCUCUCGUAGAUGGACAUCACCAUGAUAGGUCUUCGUGCGCGUAGGAAAUUUUUUGUUUCCCAUGCGACGUUCCCCAACAGCACUAAGGCCACCGUAAUCUCCUCACGCCCUCGCACAAUGCAAGUUGUCGUGAUUCCACUAAGGGACCCUUGAGGGCGGUCACCGAACCCGUACAAACAAGGUUGGGGCAAUCUUCACAACUUAAUUGAAGGCUCCGAACAACACCAGGAAGCUUCAUCACAAUGGCAUAUGGCUUCGAGGUGACACAAAUGCUCGGCGCAAUCUCCACAACUUAAUUGGAGAUCUGGCGCUUUCCCGGAGCUUUACACCACAAUGAUUAAGCUUCGAGGCACCACCAAACUGCUAAGACGCCAAAGCAUCCACGAAGAACAAUAACUAGGGUACCAAGUACCAAAGGGUAAUAAGCUUCUCAAACUUCACGUGCACGCAUCACCGUGGAGAAGUCAAACAUAUGCACCAAAUGCAAUGGCAAGGGCACACGGAAUGCCCAAGUCCUUCACUCCCGAAUCCCACCACAACUACUAAUGCUAUGGUGUAAAAUGAGCGGAAGAACAAAGAAGAACACCAAGAACUCAAAAAACUAGAUCCAAGGGGUUCCCCUCACUUAAAGGAGAAAGUGAUUGGUGGAAGUGUGGAUCUAGAUCUCCUCUCUCUUUUCCCACAAAAAAGGAGCAAGAAUCAUUGGAGGGAUUGAGAGUUAGCAAGCUCAAAGAAGGUCAACAAUGGGGGAAGAACACGAGCUCAACAGAUAAGAACCAUUGGAGAAGAAGACCCCCUUUAUAUAGUGGGCAAAAGAAUCCAACCAUUACCCCCACUUACAUCCCGAGCAAAGCGGUACUACCGCUCCCCCAUGCAGUACUACCGCUGCCCGGUGUUGUACUACUGCACGCACGGUAGUGGCAGAGGGAGGAACUAUUGCACGGGGCAACGAGCGGUAGAACCACCGAAGUGGUACUACCGCACGCCCUUAAGGUACUAUCGCAUGGUAGUAUCCAACUGCCACAGAAGGUACACGGAAGUAAAAACUUACUUCCGUGUUUACCUCGGGUGAGGCUACGGCUGUGCAAAAAUCUGACACUGUAGUACCGGACACGGUUUUGUGGUACUACUGCUCGAGGGCGGUAGUAAAAAACUAUGUCCGCUCUUUACACAGCGGAAGUACCGGGCGGUACUUCCGUGGUACCGAGCGGUACUACCGUAGUACCGAGCGGUACUACCGCAUGUUUAGAGAAAAACAGCUAUGGAACUGAAACUACCAUAACCUUUGCAUACGAGCUCCGAAUCGAGCGAACUCAAACUUGUUGAAUUCAGGAUGACAAGAGCUAUCCAAAUAGCGACUACAAAUCUUAAGAACAUGGAGUUGUGAAAAUGCCAAUUAUAUAGAGAUGUAAGACCUCUAUGAAUAAAGAACCGACAAAAAUUCCAACAUCGAAAACAUCGUAGAAGAUGCAUAUGGACUCUGUUUUCGAUGAACUCGAGCUUGUCAUGAAAAUAACCAUAAACUCUAAAACUCACAAAGAGAAACACCAAACAAGAACCAAAAACUAUGAUGCAAGGAUGCAAAUAGUUUGAGGUGUCAACGAACGAUACGAUCAAGCUACUCACUUGGGAGCCCCCUUGACAGUACAACAAUCUAUCCUGAAAUAGAAAAAACCUAUCAAGGGCAAACAUAUACCUUGCACCUAGUUCUCUUGAGCUAGAUGACGAUGAUCUUGACUUCCUCAAGAUGGACCACCUUUGUUGAUUGCGUUGGUUUGACGAAGACUAGUUGAUUGCUCUCCCAUACUCACUAUGGGUGAGCUACUCUUCAGCACAUCUUUACAAGUCCAUUGUCACCACAAUGAACGGCAAGCUUCAAGCAUGAUAUCUUCAUGAUGCUCCACUUGAACUUGCACAACACAAUCUUGAUGACGAUCGCCACUUAAUGGCAUCCUUUAUAGGCUGAAUGAGAUCUUCCUCUUGACACAAACCCAUGGAAACACACCUAAGCCCACAUAGAACUCUCACGGAGACCAUGGGUUAGUACACAAAAGCGUUAUGGACAAUGCUUACCAUACCAUGGGAUCACUUGAUCCCUCUCGGUACAUCUUGUAUGCUUUGUCUGUUGAUUAUCUUGAUUUACUCUUUGCUUAGUCUUGGUCAACCUUGUGUCUUUAUGAACAAUCUUUAGAUAAUACUUUGAAUAACACCUUGGUCAUCAUAUAAACUCCUUGAAACAACAGAUGGACUUCAAAAAGUGCCCAUAGACAAAUCCUUUAAAUAUAACUCAAUGCAAUCAUUAGUCCAUAAAAAUUGUUAUCAAUUACUAAAACCACAUACGGAGAAAUAUGCUCUAAUAAUCACCCAGUUGGAGUUGCUCUAAGAAGGCCGAAUCCUGAAUGUCCGAGUGAGAAUUAUGAUACUGUGAUUUUUCAGAUUAUUUGAAUGUUUCGUACUUUCGUUUUGUUUCUUCAGCGGUAUAUCACGUCUCCUCUAGUCAUCGCCGAGUCAGUGGAAACUGUGUGAGCGAGCAAUGGCCACGCUGGAAGAUGUCGACGUGCAACGGAGGAGAUGUGACCGGUCAGCACCAAGCACGCGGUGACUCAGUUGCAUACGGAGCACCUCAUAUCGUUGUGUCGUCAUUCUCACCUUGAAAAAAAAAA